rnacentral:rRNA from 1 species
UGAGGAAUAUUGGUCAAUGGACGAGAGUCUGAACCAGCCAAGUAGCGUGAAGGAUGACUGCCCUAUGGGUUGUAAACUUCUUUUAUACGGGAAUAAAGUUAGCCACGUGUGGCUUUUUGUAUGUACCGUAUGAAUAAGGAUCGGCUAACUCCGUGCCAGCAGCCGCGGUAAUACGGAGGAUCCGAGCGUUAUCCGGAUUUAUUGGGUUUAAAGGGAGCGUAGGCGGGUUGUUAAGUCAGUUGUGAAAGUUUGCGGCUCAACCGUAAAAUUGCAGUUGAUACUGGCGACCUUGAGUGCAACAGAGGUAGGCGGAAUUCGUGGUGUAGCGGUGAAAUGCUUAGAUAUCACGAAGAACUCCGAUUGCGAAGGCAGCUUACUGGAUUGUAACUGACGCUGAUGCUCGAAAGUGUGGGUAUCAAACAGGAUUAGAUACCCUGGUAGUCCACACAGUAAACGAUGAAUACUCGCUGUUUGCGAUAUACAGUAAGCGGCCAAGCGAAAGCGUUAAGUAUUCCACCUGGGGAGUACGCCGGCAACGGUGAAACUCAAAGGAAUUGACGGGGGCCCGCACAAGCGGAGGAACAUGUGGUUUAAUUCGAUGAUACGCGAGGAACCUUACCCGGGCUUGAAUUGCAACUGAAUGAUGUGGAGACAUGUCAGCCGCAAGGCAGUUGUGAAGGUGCUGCAUGGUUGUCGUCAGCUCGUGCCGUGAGGUGUCGGCUUAAGUGCCAUAACGAGCGCAACCCUUAUCGAUAGUUACCAUCAGGUUAUGCUGGGGACUCUGUCGAGACUGCCGUCGUAAGAUGUGAGGAAGGUGGGGAUGACGUCAAAUCAGCACGGCCCUUACGUCCGGGGCUACACACGUGUUACAAUGGGGGGUACAGAAGGCAGCUACACGGCGACGUGAUGCUAAUCCCGAAAGCCUCUCUCAGUUCGGAUUGGAGUCUGCAACCCGACUCCAUGAAGCUGGAUUCGCUAGUAAUCGCGCAUCAGCCACGGCGCGGUGAAUACGUUCCC